UGGGGAAUUUUGCGCAAUGGGCGAAAGCCUGACGCAGCAACGCCGCGUGGAGGAUGAAGGUCUUCGGAUCGUAAACUCCUGUCAGGGGGGACGAAAGCCGCGCAAGCGGUCUGACUGUACCCUCUGAGGAAGCCACGGCUAACUCCGUGCCAGCAGCCGCGGUAAUACGGAGGUGGCAAGCGUUGUUCGGAAUUACUGGGCGUAAAGGGCGCGUAGGCGGCUUGGCAAGUCAGAUGUGAAAGCCCCGGGCUUAACUUGGGAAUUGCAUCUGAAACUGCUUUGCUUGAGUCCUGGAGGGGGUAGUGGAAUUCCCAGUGUAGCGGUGAAAUGCGUAGAUAUUGGGAGGAACACCUGCGGCGAAGGCGGCUACCUGGACAGUGACUGACGCUGAGGCGCGAAA
rnacentral:rRNA from 1 species